UCCCUGGUGGUCUAGUGGUUAGGACUCAGAGCUUUGACUACUGUGGCCUGGGUUCAAUUCCUGGUCAGGGAA
rfam:TPA: Bos taurus chromosome 10, whole genome shotgun sequence.